AUUUUUAUUUUUUAGCCGUUAGACUCUGUAUUAAAUGUUUUGACCGUUGGGCUCUUUAUUAAAAUUUUAAUGAGUCAAUAAAAAUCCUAAUGGCCAUAAAUAGUCAUAAAUAGUCAUAUUGGUUGGCUAUAAAAAAUCCUCUUGGGAUCUGAUCAAGUAUGCAAUUCAAGAGUCUUCUAAUAUUCUUUCUUGGAUGAUUGACUCUUCAAUUAUAAUAUUUCUUCUUUUUUCAUCUUUCGGAUGCUGAAAGAGUCUUCAUCAACCUCCUCC
rnacentral:lncRNA from 1 species